UUUCAUUAAGUUGUCGAUGGAAAAACAUACAAUAAAACAUUAUUCUGGUUGAUCCUGCCAGUAGUUAUAUGCUUGUCUCAAAGAUUAAGCCAUGCAUCUAGGACUACCAUGGUUGCAACGGGCAACGGGGAAUCAGGGUUCGAUUUCGGAGAGGGAGCCUGAGAAACGGCUACCACAUCUAAGGAAGGCAGCAGGCGCGUAAAUUACCCACUCCCAGCUCGGGGAGGUAGUGACGAAAAAUAACAAUACAGGACUCAUAUUAGAGGCCCUGUAAUUGGAUUAAGUACACUUUAAAUCCCUUAACAAAGACCUAUUGGAGGGCAAGUCUGGUGCCAGCAGCCGCGGUAACUCCAGCUCCAAUAGCGUAUAUUAAAGUUGUUGCGGUUAAAACGUUCGUAGUUGAACUUGUGCUUCAUACGGGUAGUACAACUAUAAUUGUAGUUUGUACUAUACCAUAGGUAUGUAAGCGUAUUAUCGGUGGAUACCUAUGCAUGAUAGGUACUUGUAUUUAUGUUUGUUCCUCCUAUUUAAACCUGCUUCAGUGCUCUUCAUCGAGUGUUGUUGUGGGCCGGUACAAUUACUAUGAACAAUUUAGAGUGCUUAAAGCAGUCUUGGACCGUCGUAAGACUAACUUAAGCGAAAGCAUUUGCCAUAGAUGUUUUCAUUAAUCAAGAACGAAAGUUAGAGGUUCGAAGGCGAUCAGAUACAGCCCUAGUUCUAACCAUAAACGAUGCCAGCUAGCAAUUGGGUGUAGCUACUUUUAUGGUUCUCUCAGUCGCUUCCCGGGAAACCAAAGCUUUUGGGCUCCGGGGGAAGUAUGGUGGCAAAGCUGAGACUUAAAGGAAUUGAAUUGGAAGGGCGCCACCAGGAGUGAAGCCUGCGGCUUAAUUUGACUUAACACGGGAAAACUUACCAGGUCCGAACAGUGGUGCAUGGCCGUUCUUAGUUCGUGGAGUGAUUUGUCUGGUUAAUUCCGAUAACGAACGAGACUCAAAUAUAUUAAAUAGAUGCUUUCAGGAUUAUGGUGUUGAAGCUUUUAUAGCCUUCAUUCGCGACCGCAGUAAAAUGUGUUAGCGUUUGAAUGUGUUUGUAAAAGUGGAGCCGUACCUGUUGGUUUGUCCCAUUAUAAGGACACUAGCUUCUUAAAUGGACAAAUUGCGUCUAGCAAUAAUGAGAUUGAGCAAUAACAGGUCUGUGAUGCCCUUAGAUGUCCUGGGCUGCACGCGCGCUACAAUGAAAGUAUCAACGUGUAUUUCCUAGACCGAGAGGUCCGGGUAAACCGCUGAACCACUUUCAUGCUUGGGAUUGUGAACUGAAACUGUUCACAUGAACUUGGAAUUCCCAGUAAGUGUGAGUCAUUAACUCGCAUUGAUUACGUCCCUGCCCUUUGUACACACCGCCCGUCGCUACUACCGAUUGAA